GACCCUCGUCACGCGUCCGUGCGCCCCCGGCGCGCCGGAGGGAUCUCCAGGACCCCGAACGUGCCGCCCCGGACGAACUCGCUUCGCGACCCCAGGUCAGGCGGACUACCCGCUGAGUUAAGCAUUCUAAAGGG
rnacentral:rRNA from 1 species